rnacentral:ncRNA from 1 species
ACUUGUCCUAAAAUUUCAUAAGCAUGUUGCCUUUCAAUCCUUCGAUGUCGGCUCUUCCUAUCAUUGCCAAGCAAAAUGUUCCAAGCGUUGAAUUGUUUGGCCCACUAAUAGGCAAUGUCAGCUAGGUCUAGACCCUUGUGAGACAGGUU